rnacentral:rRNA from 20 species
UUUACGGAGAGUUUGAUCCUGGCUCAGGACGAACGCUGGCGGCGUGCUUAACACAUGCAAGUCGAACGAUGAUGCCCAGCUUGCUGGGUGGAUUAGUGGCGAACGGGUGAGUAACACGUGAGUAACCUGCCCCUGACUCUGGGAUAAGCGUUGGAAACGACGUCUAAUACUGGAUAUGAUCACUGGCCGCAUGGUCUGGUGGUGGAAAGAUUUUUUGGUUGGGGAUGGACUCGCGGCCUAUCAGCUUGUUGGUGAGGUAAUGGCUCACCAAGGCGACGACGGGUAGCCGGCCUGAGAGGGUGACCGGCCACACUGGGACUGAGACACGGCCCAGACUCCUACGGGAGGCAGCAGUGGGGAAUAUUGCACAAUGGGCGAAAGCCUGAUGCAGCAACGCCGCGUGAGGGAUGACGGCCUUCGGGUUGUAAACCUCUUUUAGUAGGGAAGAAGCGAAAGUGACGGUACCUGCAGAAAAAGCACCGGCUAACUACGUGCCAGCAGCCGCGGUAAUACGUAGGGUGCAAGCGUUGUCCGGAAUUAUUGGGCGUAAAGAGCUCGUAGGCGGUUUGUCGCGUCUGCUGUGAAAUCCCGAGGCUCAACCUCGGGCUUGCAGUGGGUACGGGCAGACUAGAGUGCGGUAGGGGAGAUUGGAAUUCCUGGUGUAGCGGUGGAAUGCGCAGAUAUCAGGAGGAACACCGAUGGCGAAGGCAGAUCUCUGGGCCGUAACUGACGCUGAGGAGCGAAAGCAUGGGGAGCGAACAGGAUUAGAUACCCUGGUAGUCCAUGCCGUAAACGUUGGGCGCUAGAUGUAGGGACCUUUCCACGGUUUCUGUGUCGUAGCUAACGCAUUAAGCGCCCCGCCUGGGGAGUACGGCCGCAAGGCUAAAACUCAAAGGAAUUGACGGGGGCCCGCACAAGCGGCGGAGCAUGCGGAUUAAUUCGAUGCAACGCGAAGAACCUUACCAAGGCUUGACAUACACCGGAAACGGCCAGAGAUGGUCGCCCCCUUGUGGUCGGUGUACAGGUGGUGCAUGGUUGUCGUCAGCUCGUGUCGUGAGAUGUUGGGUUAAGUCCCGCAACGAGCGCAACCCUCGUUCUAUGUUGCCAGCGGGUUAUGCCGGGGACUCAUAGGAGACUGCCGGGGUCAACUCGGAGGAAGGUGGGGAUGACGUCAAAUCAUCAUGCCCCUUAUGUCUUGGGCUUCACGCAUGCUACAAUGGCCGGUACAAAGGGCUGCGAUACCGUAAGGUGGAGCGAAUCCCAAAAAGCCGGUCUCAGUUCGGAUUGAGGUCUGCAACUCGACCUCAUGAAGUCGGAGUCGCUAGUAAUCGCAGAUCAGCAACGCUGCGGUGAAUACGUUCCCGGGCCUUGUACACACCGCCCGUCAAGUCAUGAAAGUCGGUAACACCCGAAGCCGGUGGCCUAACCCUUGUGGAAGGAGCCGUCGAAGGUGGGAUCGGUGAUUAGGACUAAGUCGUAACAAGGUAGCCGUACCGGAAGGUGCGGCUGGAUCACCUCCUUU